rnacentral:sRNA from 1 species
GGCUCAAACAUGGCUGCGCUGAGAGCUCUAUUGCUUUGGGCGCCGGGAGCAGGAGGUACUCCGCGAAUGAGAACAUUGAGAAUGUGUUCGGCAUAACUCAUUUCUUUGUAUCUCCCUGCACUCUGUGCUGGGAAAAUGAAUCAUCCAUUUGGAAAAGAGGAAGCUGCUUCGCAGAAGCAGCUUUUUGGAUUUUUCUGCGAAUGCCUGCGAAGGGGAGAAUGGGAGCUGGCACAGGCAUGUGUACCUCAGCUACAGGAGGGACAAGGGGAUAUCCCAAAGAGGGUAGAAGACAUACUUCAGGCAUUGGUGGUGUGUCCAAAUCUGCUGAGAUGUGGGCAGGACAUCAACCCUCAAAGAUUAGCCUGGGUCUGGCUUCUUGUACUGGAGAAAUGGUUGGCCCGGGAAAAGAAGUUACUCCCAGUUGUUUUCCGGAGAAAGCUUGAGUUUCUUUUAUUGUCAGAAGACCUCCAAGGUGACAUUCCAGAGAACAUCCUCGAGGAGCUGUAUGAGACCUUAACACAGGGUGCAGUAGGCCACGUGCCUGACGGAAAUCCACCCUUUCUUCAUCCUCUAUUUAGGAGCUGUAUGAGACCUUAACACAGGGUGCAGUAGGCCACGUGCCUGACGGAAAUCCAAGGAGGGAGAGCUGGACUCCUUGUCUCAGCUCCGAAGCUGUCUCUGUGCUCUGGGAUCUCCUGAGGCAGUCUCCCCAGCCAGCACAGGCCCUGCUGGAGCUCCUGCUUGGGGAGGAUGACGGCACUGGCCUCUGUCACUGGCCUCUGCAAAAUGCACUGGUGGACCUCAUUCGAAAGGCAUUGCGGGCUUUGCAGGGCCCUGAUUCGGUGCCCCCUGGGGUAGUCGAUGCCAUCUAUGGAGCCCUGCGGACUCUGCGUUGCCCUGCAGAACCACCUGGAGUUGAGUUGCGUCUCCUGUGUGAGGAACUAUUAGAGGCCUGCAGGACCGAGGGGAAUCCCCUGCGGGAGGAGCAGCUGCUCAGCUGCCUGCUGCACAAGGCCAGCCGGGGCCUGCUGUCCCUGUAUGGCCAUACCUAUGCAGAGAAGGUCACAGAAAAGCCACUGAGGGCUACAGCCUCGGGAAAAGUCUCACCAGAUCAUCUCGAUCCUGAGCGGGCAAUGCUAGCCCUGUUCUCCAAUCCCGACCCAGCCGAGGCUUGGAAAGUGGCCUACUUCUACUGCCUGAGCAACAACAAACACUUCCUCGAGCAGAUUCUGGUAACAGCACUAACAUUGUUGAAAGAAGAAGACUUCCCAAAUCUUGGCUGCCUACUUGAUAGAGAAUUCAGGCCUCUUAGUUGCCUGCUUGUGCUCCUGGGCUGGACACACUGCCAGAGCCUAGAGUCAGCCAAGAGGCUGCUCCAGACCCUGCACAGGACCCAGCAACCCCAUACCAAAGAGAGAUCUGUUGUGUCAUUUACACGGUGGAGACAGCCACUCAGUACUCUACACUAUCCAUCACCUUACAAACCUUCCAGCCCUCAGGGAGGAAGAUGUUCUCAAGCUCUUACAGAAAGUGCCAGCCAAGGAACCCCAGCAAGAGCCUGAUGCAGUUGAUGCUCCAGUCCCUGAGCACCUGAGCCAGUGUCAGAACCUGACACUCUACCAGGGCUUCUGUGCCAUGAAGUAUGCCAUCUAUGCCCUCUGUGUAAACUCACACCAGCACUCCCAGUGCCAGGACUGCAAAGACAGCCUCUCUGAGGACCUGGCCUCAGCUGCAGAGCCAGCGAAUGACUCUCUCUCCUCCCCAGGUGCUGCAAAUCUCUUCUCAACUUACCUGGCCAGGUGUCAACAGUAUCUGUGCAGUAUUCCUGACUCCCUGUGCCUGGAGCUUCUGGAAAACAUCUUCUCAUUGCUUCUCAUCACCUCUGCUGAUCUUCACCCAGGGCCUCACUUGCCUGAGGACUAUGCUGAGGAUGAUGACAUUGAGGGGAAGAGCCCCUCAGGUUUGAGGUCCCCAUCAGAGAGCCCUCAGCACAUAGCACAUCCUGAAAGGAAGUCAGAACGGGGUUCCCUGGGAGUCCCAAAGACCCUUGCUUAUACAAUGCCAAGCCGUGUGAAGGCAGAGCCAAAAGACAGUUACCCAGGGCCUCAUAGGCACAGCUUUUUGGACUUAAAACACUUUACUAGUGGUAUCAGUGGAUUUCUGGCUGAUGAAUUUGCAAUAGGGGCCUUCCUCAGGCUUCUCCAAGAGCAACUGGAUGAGAUCAGUAGCCGCAGCCCCCCUGAGAAGCCAAAGCAAGAAGGUCAGAGCUGCUCAGGAAGCAGAGAUGGACUGCAGAGCCGCCUGCAUCGACUUUCCAAGGUUGUCUCUGAGGCCCAGUGGAGACACAAGGUGGUGACAAGCAACCAUCGUUCAGAAGAGCAACCUUCCCGAAGAUACCAGCCUACCACACGUCAUCCCAGUCUCUGCCGGGGUCAUCGGACAAGAAGGAGCCAGGCAGGUAAUCUGAAGAGCUCAUUCCCAUGCACUACGCAAGUGGUGUAAUGCUGCUUGUCUAAUACUCUUUAAGAAACAGCACAUGGUCAAAAACAACAAAAGCGUUGUAAAAUUAUCCUAUUCCCACUCCCUCAAGGUAACCGUUGUUAAUAGUUUCCUAUGUAUCCUUCCAGAAAUUUUCCAUGUGAUAUAAACAUGUAUAUCCUUUUAUAUAUACACAUACAUUAUACUAUAUAUUAAGAACUGCAGCUUGCUUUUUUCAUUUAUAUCCUUUUAUAUAUACAGAUGUAUUAUACUAUUAAUUGAGAACUUUUUUCACUUACCAUUUUAAAUACUGCUUAGUAUUCCAUUGUCAGAAACACCCUGUUCAUAGACAUUUAAGUUUCCAGUUGUUUACUAUUAUAAACAGUGCUGUAGUAAACAACCUUGUACAUGUCUAUGCAUACUUGUGUAAAUACAGGAUAAGCUCCUAGCAGCAGAAUUACUAGGUCACAUGUAUAUGGAUAUAAUAUAUAGAUAUUACCCAGUUGCCUUAAAAAUAAGGUAGACUAAUAUGUAUUUCUUUUUUCUAUAAGAAUUAAUACUAAGUAUUCAUUGUAUGCCAGAUGCUGCUCUACAUUCCUUAUAUUUAUAAUUGUUAACUUAUUUAAUCCUCACAAUACUAUGAAGUAGGUCUUAUUAUUUUUCCCCUUUUAUUUUUAUUUCCUUUUUUUUUCUUUUUGAGAUGGCAUCUCAUUCUGUUGCCCAGGCUGGAGUGCAGUAGUGCAAUCUCAGCUCAACGCAACCUCUGCCUCCUGGGUUCAAGCGAUUCUUGUGCCUCAGCCUCCUGAGUAGCUGGGAUUACAGGUGUGCGCUACCGUGCCCGGCUAAUGUUUGUAUUUUUAGUAGAGAUGGGGUUUUGUCAUGUUGGCCAGGCUGAUCUUGAACUCCUGACCUGAAGUGAUCUGCCCGCCUCAGCUUCCCAAAGUGCUGGAAUUACAGGCGUGAGUCACCAGGCCCAGCCUCCCUUUUUAGUUGGCAUAUAAUAAUUGUACAUAUUUAAGGGAUACACAGUGAUAUUUCAAUAUGUUUAUAAAAUGUGUAAUGACCAAAUUGGAGUAAUAUCUAUCACCUCAAACGUUUGUCAUUUCUUUUUGUUGUGAACAUUCAAAAUCCUUUCUUCGGCCGGGCACGGUGGCUCACACCUGUAAUCCCAGCAUUCUGGGAGGCCGAGGCAGAUGGAUCACUUGAGGUAAGGAGUUCAAGACCAGCCUGGCUAACAUAGUGAAACCCUGUCUGUACUAAAAAUAUGAAAGUUAGCUGGGUGUAUUGGUGGGUGCCCAGCUCGGGAGGCUGAGGCAUGAGAAUCACUUGAACCUGGGAGGCAGAGGUUGCGGUGAGCUGAGAUUGUGCCACUGUACUCUAGCCUGAGUGACAGAGUGAGAAUCCAUCUAAAAAAAAAAAAAAAAAAAAAAAAAAAAA